rnacentral:rRNA from 1 species
GUUUAAAGGGUGCGUAGGCGGUUUGAUAAGUUAGAGGUGAAAUUCGGGGCUCAACCCUGAACGUGCCUCUAAUACUGUUGAGCUAGAGAGUAGUUGCGGUAGGCGGAAUGUAUGGUGUAGCGGUGAAAUGCUUAGAGAUCAUACAGAACACCGAUUGCGAAGGCAGCUUACCAAACUAUAUCUGACGUUGAGGCACGAAAGCGUGGGGAGCAAACAGGAUUAGAUACCCUGGUAGUCCACGCAGUAAACGAUGAUAACUCGUUGUCGGCGAUACACAGUCGGUGACUAAGCGAAAGCGAUAAGUUAUCCACCUGGGGAGUACGUUCGCAAGAAUGAAACUCAAAGGAAUUGACGGGGGCCCGCACAAGCGGAGGAACAUGUGGUUUAAUUCGAUGAUACGCGAGGAACCUUACCCGGGCUUGAAAGUUAGCGACGAUUCUUGAAAGAGGAUUUCCCUUCGGGGCGCGAAACUAGGUGCUGCAUGGUUGUCGUCAGCUCGUGCCGUGAGGUGUCGGGUUAAGUCCCAUAACGAGCGCAACCCCUACCGUUAGUUGCCAUCAGGUCAAGCUGGGCACUCUGGCGGGACUGCCGGUGUAAGCCGAGAGGAAGGUGGGGAUGACGUCAAAUCAGCACGGCCCUUACGUCCGGGGCUACACACGUGUUACAAUGGUAGGUACAGAGGGCAGCUACCCAGCGAUGGGAUGCGAAUCUCGAAAGCCUAUCUCAGUUCGGAUUGGAGGCUGAAACCCGCCUCCAUGAAGUUGGAUUCGCUAGUAAUCGCGCAUCAGCCAUGGCGCGGUGAAUACGUUCCCGGGCCUUGUACACACCGCCCGUCAAGCCAUGGGAGCCGGGGGUGCCUGAAGUUCGUGACAGCAAGGAGCGACCUAGGGCAAAACUGGUGACUG